rnacentral:rRNA from 1 species
GACGAACGCUGGCGGCGUGCCUAAUACAUGCAAGUAGAACGCUGAAGAGAGGAGCUUGCUCUUCUUGGAUGAGUUGCGAACGGGUGAGUAACGCGUAGGUAACCUGCCUGGUAGCGGGGGAUAACUAUUGGAAACGAUAGCUAAUACCGCAUAAAAUUGCUUAUCGCAUGAUAAUUAAUUGAAAGAUGCAAUUGCAUCACUACCAGAUGGACCUGCGUUGUAUUAGCUAGUUGGUGAGGUAACGGCUCACCAAGGCGACGAUACAUAGCCGACCUGAGAGGGUGAUCGGCCACACUGGGACUGAGACACGGCCCAGACUCCUACGGGAGGCAGCAGUAGGGAAUCUUCGGCAAUGGGGGGAACCCUGACCGAGCAACGCCGCGUGAGUGAAGAAGGUUUUCGGAUCGUAAAGCUCUGUGUAAGAGAAGAACGGGUGUGAGAGUGAAAGUCACACUGGACGGUAUCUCC